CAUUUCCCAUUUCGUGAGUUCAAGAGAGAGAGAGGGAGAGAGAGAGAGUUGGAUCAUCUUCAUUUCUUCCACCUUGAUGCUUGCUUCCAUAGCCAAAUUCCUUCACAUCUCUCGAUUAUAUUCGGGUUUGAGUAAAAAUUGGGGAAAAACAACUCCAAAAGGUCUUCUACGGGACUAGUAACCUGGUUGAGAUGCAGUUUAGUGAGUGCCUCUGUAGCCGAUGAGCUCUGA